AAAUAAGAAGCAAAUAAUUGCAUUUAGUUUCGACCUAAAAAAUUUGAUAUAUAAUAUCCUUAUUUU
rnacentral:tRNA from 1 species